AAAAAUAUAAAGGUGCCAUUGAAAAGGGCUUUUGCUGCAUGAAACUGAUUCUUUGAGAUUAAUCCAUGGCUUCAGAUUGGACCAAAACGAUAUUGAAUAUAUCGAUAGUUCCCUAGUGUGUAUAGCUUUAUAGCACUGGCCACUGCUUUGAAGUUUCCCAAGGACUUCAGCUGUGAGGAAUGGAAAAGGAAUCGAUAAGAAAAGAUGUUGGAUACAAAUUUUGACUCCAUGAAGACACUUUCUUAGUGUCUUGGAACCUGGUUUUACAACAAGGCCGCGGGCCCGAAUGAUUUCCACCUCCAACUGUCCCUUUUUG